GAAAUUCAACAGUAACCUCUGUGAUUUAAACACACAUGUCAUUUACAGUUUUAAUUUACCGAUGAAAUAUUUAUAAUGUCUUUGCUGAAUGUUUCAUAAAAAUUGAGAGAUUUCCUUUUCUUGGUUUAUUUCCAAAUAUUUGUGCAUAGAAAGGAUUUUUCUCUCCUAAAUAACUCCCUGCUCCCCUCUCCUUAAAAUGAGUGACUAUAUGAUUGAUUUCUCAUCUGCUUAUCUGAAUUUUUUCCAUAUAAUUUUUUUGUUUAGUUAGAUGAUCUCAGUGGUAGAACCUUUUUGUUAGGUUGUUGAUGUUGGGUUAUGUUACAGUGGGGCCCUGUCUCCUAGGUACGAUGUGCAGUUUGAUUUUGAAUAUUGGACGUGUCGUGUGAAGAUCUUAGAAGUUGUUGGGAGGGGAGGGCUGGAGUUGUCUGGGUGUAUUUCUGGGAAUGGUUGAGAGGAAUGACCUGGAAUACUGACUGGGGACACCAAAAGUUAUUUCAGAUGAUGUAAUCUGACUUUUGGAGUCUUUAUAAUGAUGUUCAGUUGAUAAAUUCUGACUUCUGAGCUUUGAUUUUAAUUUUUAAAAAUAAAGUAUGGAUAAACAUGUCAUCGCACAUAGUGAAAAUUCACUCUGUUGAUGAUUAAAAUCAUGAACUAUUCUGCCUUGUGCACAAAUGCAGCUAAGUUACAAGCCCCGUAACAAUCAAAUUCAGAGUUCAACUUUAACUGCUGGCCAGCCAUGCUUGGUAUUUGGGGUUGACAGAUUACUAUUCUCAAAAAAGAAGAAAUCUUUGCACAGCUCUGUGACCUGCCAUUUUGGAUUCUUGUGCCUUAGUUGUAGGGUCACAUAUAACUGUGUCUUCUAAUCAAAAAUGGCAUUUCUGGUGAUUUUUAUUCUUAUAGACUGUUUUCGGUCUCUUUCACAUUAGCAAAGGGGUGCAGAGGUGUUUUCACCCAAGUAUUGAAAGGAGCUGGUAAGUCUGGGGUAUAGAGACAGGGAAGGCUGUCCCCAGCUGUGAGUCCUUUACAUUGCAGACUGGGUGACAGGGAUGAGACUCCUGGAGGGGAGCCAGUAGACUCGUGGUGGAAUUGGUACCCUUUCUCUUAAACAAGUAUAGUCACAGUCAAUACGCUGCUGCUUUUGGACAGGUGAAGUGGGGCUUACUCAUAGGUGAGAGGGCUUUGUAGGAUUAGUGUGUAGAGACGCUAUGAAGCCAAAAUACAGUAAUUCUGUGCUGAGUUCAUUGAGUCUGUGCUGGGGAAGA